rnacentral:pre_miRNA from 1 species
UUAACUUAAAUUUAUAUGGAAUUGGCACGGCUACCUACGUUUGCCGCUAGGGGCGCUAUUCCAACUACAUACAAAAUCAGAGUUA